rnacentral:rRNA from 1 species
GACGAACGCUGGCGGCGUGCCUAAUACAAGCAAGUCGAGCGCAGGAAACUGACGGAACUCUUCGGAGGGAAGGCAGUGGAAUGAGCGGCGGACGGGUGAGUAACACGUAAGGAACCUGCCUCAAGGAUUGGGAUAACUCCGAGAAAUCGGAGCUAAUACCGUAUAGUUCAUCUGACCGCCUGGUCCGUUGAUGAAAGGCGCUUCGGCGUCACCUUGAGAUGGCCUUGCGGUGCAUUAGCUAGUUGGUGGGGUAACGGCUCACCGAGGCGACGAUGCAUAGCCGACCUGAGAGGGUGAUCGGCCACACUGGGACUGAGACACGGCCCAGACUCCUACGGGAGGCAGCAGUAGGGAAUCUUCCACAAUGGACGAAAGUCUGAUGGAGCAACGCCGCGUGAGUGAUGAAGGUUUUCGGAUCGUAAAACUCUGUUGUAAGGGAAGAACACGUACGAGAGGGAAUGCUCGUACCUUGACGGUACCUUACGAGAAAGCCACGGCUAACUACGUGCCAGCCGCCGCAGUAA